rnacentral:rRNA from 1 species
CUGCGGUUGGAUCACCUCCUUA